rnacentral:lncRNA from 1 species
UGGGACCCCCAAAUACAUCGCCACACUGGAGGCAAGCGGCAGGGACGCAACGGGGAUGGCACCGACCUCUGCGCCCCAGGGAGGGGGCUGUCACCCCGUCCCCGUGUCCCAUGGGGAGCUGCCACGAUUCAAGAGCUCCUGGGGACAACUGGAACACAGCAAAGGCUGAGCCCCGGUGGGCACCGCAGCCCGAGGACGGGGCAGCAGCACCCAGGGGACGUGGGGACACAGGGCCGUGCCGGUGGGGGCAGCGCUGCCGGUGGCUCGCGAGCUGCAGCCCAGGCACGCCGCCCACCCUGCCGCCAGCUCCCCUGGAUCUCCGCGGCUCCGUCCCCCCAGGGAAUUGUCUUUAUUAAGCCGCCCUGCUCGGGCUCCUCGCCGGCAGGAAGGAUUAACGCCACCGCAGCCUCGCGCCUCUCCGCUCCUGUGCGCUCGGGUUUCCUGCAGCAAACGCGCCCCUGGGAUCGUCCCCAAGCGCUGUGGGGCUGCGGGAAGCUGCAGGAGCCCCGGGCACGUUGCCACCGGGGUCUGCGGGGAUGCGGUGUGGGGCACGAGCCAAGGAGCCGGAGCUGGGUCUGGGGGCUGGGAGGCAGAAGCCACGAGGGCACCAGGGAGGGGACCCCUGUGUCCCCGUCCUGGGGUUGGCAGCAGUGCUGCCUGUUUGCAGGGUGUUGGGAGCAUGGCCCUGGGCACCCCACGGGGACCCUGCGCAGCAGCUGCCCGGGCUGGCCCAUGCUCCUGGGGCACAGGAGCUGCAGCCUGCGUGCCGUGGGGCACCGCAGUGCCUCUGCUGCCGAGGCUCUGCUGGGGAGAUGGCAGCUGAGCUGCCCCAGCCCCACUCCCCCUGAUGUGCCCCGGCACCCCCUGAUCUGCCCCAGCUCCCCCAUUCCUGAGCCAGCACCCCCGUUCCUGCUGCAGCUCCCCCGUCCCCUCCUCUCCCCCUGCUCCCAGCACGCGGCGGGGCCGUGCCCUGUGCCUGGAGCCCCCACCGCCGGGGGGGUGCAGUUCUGUCACCCUGGGGUCCCAGGAGCGAGGGGAAGAGCAAAGCCGUCGGCGCCCAACGAGCGCGGUUUUAUCCUGACAGUCAUUCAGGGAGAUGGCCAAGGGCUGCGGAGGGCAUUUUUUAUCCUAUAUUGA